UUACGUAUCUCUUUUUUUUUUUUUCUUUUUUUUUUGUUAUAUUAGGUGCCCUACUCGAUAAUACUAUAAUAUCUGAGCGUAAUAAGAUGGUAAAAAUGGUUAAAACGUAUGGUACCAUAUAAUUAUUGUUGUGAGGAGGCCUUUCAAAUAAACGGUUUUUAUGUGUAUAUAUAUAUAUAUAUGUUAUUAUAUUAUAUAUUGUUAUAGUAUUAUUUGUUAUUAUUAUUAUUUUUUUUUUUUUUUUCUAAUCUGCCUACUUUUUCUUUCUAUUAAUGUAUAGUUUCAAUCUUCUGACAUGAAUUAUGUCAUUAGUCGUUUUAUUAUCAAAAAUUGUCUCGAUUUCCUUUUAAUAUUAAUUGGGAUUUGGUCAAUUUGAAUGUUGUUAAUUGAUUUUAUAAUGUGGGAACAAAAUUGGUCAUUAUUU